rnacentral:lncRNA from 1 species
GAAGAAUUCUCCAUGGCAGAGGUCACAGUACCAGAGCUGAGCUUGGACAUCCAAAUUGGAAUUUUCUCUUCAGAAAAUUCUGAAUCUCAAAAAACUGUGUCACCUGUUCCAUUAGCUUUUCUCCCUCUUUGUUCUUGGUGCUAUCUGAUGUAAUAAUUAUCUCAGAGGAAUGCAACAGAGAGAAGAAAGUCAACUUCAAAGCUCUCUUUCUGCCUAGACCUCAUGCAUAGCAGCAAGUUACAGCUGACUUCAUUACUCUCAAGAAUUCCUCAUGGGAGAAAUGAUCUUUACACACAACUUUGAUUUCCAUGGGACACAUACUGUGAUUUUUACUUGGAGAAUAACCAAAAUUGGAAACAAGAGCCCAAGACAUCAAUGCAAGUCAUGACUACUCUGUUCUUGAAUUUCUAAACCUCAGAGUCCCCCAGGACAAUGAAAUGAUUGUGUUAUGCUUCCAAAUGUGCAACUGCCUGUCUUGAUACCCCUAUAUUCCUGUGAAACCCACUUGUCCCCUGAGGUUACCUGAAGAUGAUGUAUCAGUCGGAAUGCCUUUGACAAGUUCCAGUGUCAGCUGUGUUGGCUUAAACAAAAAGUACUGCAUAAGCUUCCAUAAAAAGAAAUCUCGAGGCAGGCAGCCGGUGGCUGAAUCUUUCCAUGUUCUGAUAUACCAGUCAGUCUAAGGUUUAUCCGACCUCCACUCGCUCUGUGGUUGUAGGAUGGCUAUGAAAUGCCUGUAUCUUCAUUCACUUGACUCUUCAGAGCCCUUUAAUUCAUUUCCCCAACAAUUGCAAAUCUCAAUAUUUGCAUGUUAAUAAGAUCUGCUGAAGAAAAACAUUCCUAUCUGCUCUCAUUUUUUUGCAGCACAAAAUCAUGACAGUGACUGGGUUUCAUCAUUUUUUUGCUCACAAAUUUCUACACACGGAGGGGAGCAAUCAUCAGAUUUAUCUUAAGAAUAAUUUCAACUUUAUAAUACUUUCAGAAGCCAUAGAUACAAUCAAUUUUGAUUUUAAAUACUAUUUCUUUUCCUCAGUUUCACUUUAUUUUGUUUUCCUUUUAGCUAGUUCAAUGUCUAUAGUUUGUCAGUAAGAAAUGAACACAUUAAUAAGAGUAUUUAUAGGAAAUAUUCUUUAGGAAUCAUUUCUUAAAAAUAGUCCUAUAUUUUAAAGCACAAUUUAUUUUUAAUUGAAUAUCCAAUUCGCUUAUGUCAAAUAUAAAUAAUUGAUUCUUAUGGAAAUUACAAACAGAAAAAGAAAAAUCUCUCCAAUAACAUUACCAAAAAUUAAGGACUGUGAACAUGUGUUGCUUUCCAGAUUUUGUUUAAGAUUUCUGUUAUAAUCUUACCCACAUGUAAAUUGUAACAUAUCCAAUAUAUAGUUUGUCUUAUGAUAUGUUCUCUUAGCCUUAUGCACAAAAGAAUUUUCCCAUGCCACUAUUUUUAAAAACAGUACUAUGAUAUCCGUAAAAUAUUAAAAGAAUGGAUGUAGUAUUAAUUAUUUCCAUGCUUUUAUUUUUUAGAUUAUUUCUUAUCCUUUUAGUAUUAAAAUACCAUUUUUAUGUAGUGAUUAACUUCUUUGCAUCAAUUACUAUCCACAUUUUUUAUUAAUACUGUAUCUUUAAAUUUAUUUUUUUAAUGGAAUUACUGGUUGGAUAGCAUAUGAUUUCUUAAGUUUUAUCACACAAAUGAACAUAAUUGUUAAAAAAUAUAAUUAAAAAUUUUUUCUGGGCUAUUGAUAAUUUGCCCAGAAUAUAUAUAAAUGAUGAAUAAAUAUAAAUGAUAAAUAUAUAUAAAUAUAAAAUGAUUUCAUGCUAGUUUUCAUGUAUUUUUCAUUUUAUUGCAUCAGUUACAUAGUGAAUCCUAAGUCUUCUGUGACAGCAGCUACUGAAAACUGCAUAUUGCUUUAAAGUCUACAGAAUACAGUGUAGCUUUGAGCACUUCAAUAUUUCUUCACUUUUCAUCUGUAACAUGGAUGCAUAAUUUUGCAGUAUAAGCACAAAAAUUUUGCUUUGUUUUGUUUUGUUUUUGUAAGUAGAGGUUUACAUAAAACCGGUAAUCAUAAAAUCUCUUUAUCAUUUCGCAAAAAGAAAAAGCAACUCUAAUCAGCAAGUUUUAAAAUGGAAGGUUAACUCCAUGGAAAUCUACUUUGAUGUAAUAAAUUCCAUCUUGAUGAUUACAUCUUUAAUGUAUGAAAUUCAGAUGGAAAAAUCAAAGUAAAUUUUUUGGACAUCAUGGAAAGCUAUUUCUA